rnacentral:rRNA from 1 species
UACGAAGGGGGCUAGCGUUGCUCGGAAUCACUGGGCGUAAAGCGCACGUAGGCGGAUCUUUAAGUCAGGGGUGAAAUCCUGGAGCUCAACUCCAGAACUGCCUUUGAUACUGGGGAUCUCGAGUCCGGGAGAGGUGAGUGGAACUGCGAGUGUAGAGGUGAAAUUCGUAGAUAUUCGCAAGAACACCAGUGGCGAAGGCGGCUAUCUGGACGGUUUCUGACGCUAAGACGCGAAAGCGUGGGGAGCAAACAGG